AAGGUGUUGAUACCAUUCCAACAAUACAUCAGACAAAAGGGUUCCAGGUGUUUUUGAUACCAUUCCAAACAAACAUCAGACACAGGUUUCCAGGUUUGAUACCAUUCCAACAAACAGCAGACACAAGGUUUCCAGGUGUUUGAUACCAUUUCCAACAAUACAUCAGACACAAGUUUUCCAGGUGUUUGAUACCAUUCCAACAAUACAUCAGACACAAGGUUUCCAGGUGUUUGAACCAUCCAACAAUACAUCAGACACAAGGUUUCCAGGUGUUUGAUACCAUUCCAACAAUAACAUCAGCCAACAAGGUUUCCAGGUGUUUUGAUACUUCCAUUAACUCCGUUCCAGACAUUAUUAUGAGCCGUCCUCCCCUCAGCAGCCUCCACUGGUAACAAAUCAAACAGUGUAAAACAAUUUAACAAAGGUAUAAAAAUGAAUUAAGUCUAAAGUCCUGAUUCUGAGUAGUAUAUGGGAUAUGUUCGAUAUUAUAACUGUAUAAAUUAAACACGUUUUUAACCACUUACUUGCAAUGUCAUAUAAUGUUCUAAGUCAGGCAUUUGCACAAUGAGGCCUCUUUGAGUUUUGGCUUAUGUCAUGUACUAUGAACAUUCAUUAGAGGUUCUAAUCAGGAACAGCCACACCCGGCAAUGUCAUUUCUCACAAUAUGACCACCCGAUGUUGGCCAUUCAUUAUCAAUAAUACUGAUAUUUGAUGUCUGCACUAAACUUCCAUCCACCUCCUCCUUCCCCCAAUGAUCCUCCUUCCCAUCAACCCUCUCCCAGCUACACAUCCAGACCAUUCAUUCACUCAUAGGCAACACUCAAAGUGCACUUGAGUACUUCACCCUCCAGUCAGAGGAGACUUUACUGGAUUGGCACUCUUUUCUCCAAGUGGUUUUAAACUACAUCAACUAUCCCUAAAUAAGGCACUUCUUUUCUCCAAGUGGUUUAAACUACAUCAACUAUCCCUAAAAAGGGCACUUCUUUUCUCAAGUGGUUUUAAACUACAUCAACUAUCCCUAAAUAAGGGCACUCUUUUCUCCAAGUGGUUUUAAACUACAUCAACAUCCCUAAAUAAGGGCACUUCUUUUCUCCAAGUGGUUUUAAACUACAUCAACUAUCCCUAAAUAAGGCACUUCUUUUCUCCAAGUGGUUUUAAACUAUAUCAACUAUCCCUAAAUAAGGGCACUUCUUUUCUCCAAGUGGUUUUAAACUACAUCAACUAUCCCUAAAUAAGGGCACUUCUUUCUCCCAAGUGGUUUUAAAACUACAUCAACUAUACCUAAAUAAGGGCACUUCUUUUCUCCAAGUGGUUUUAAACACAUCAACUAUCCCUAAAAAGGGCACUUCUUUUCUCAAGUGGUUUUAAACUACAUCAACUAUACCUAAAUAAGGGCACUUCUUUUCUCCAAGUGGUUUAAUAACUACAUCAACUAUCCCUAAAUAAGGGCACUUCUUUUCUCCAAGUGGUUUUAAACUACAUCAACUAUCCCUAAAUAGGGCACUUCUUAUGACUUGUCAUAAUGGUUUAAGUCAGAAUCAGGUUUAUAUGACUGAUCUUCAAUUAGUCCUUUAAGGUAGACAUAGGUUACUUCAUGAGUACUUCUCUGCACUGCGCAGGGCCCCUCUCAUGCUGAAGUGACUUGUUAGAAGCGCGUGAGUUGCUCUGGUCGGAGGCCCGGUCUGAGACUUUGAGCUCAUACAGGACUGUUUCUCAUCCACAACAUCUCAGCUGG
ensembl:lncRNA